rnacentral:lncRNA from 1 species
GUUUCGUGAAGAAGUCAAGAUUAAUGCGAUUCAACUUGUCACGUUUAACGGAAAGCUGUGGAUGUUUCAUUUAGAGACAGUGUGAGAGAGAACACAAGCACCGGGAGUGGGAGAAGGAGACACAAACCUCCCCCAGAGCAGGGAAACCGAUGGGCAACUGGAUCCCUGGACCCUUGGGAUCCUGACCUGAGCCGAAGGAAGCCGCUUCACUGACUGAGAUACCAGGACCCAGACUUCUUGCAUUUACUGGCAACAACACACCUUGCCGCCCCCAGCCUCCAGCCCUCCAUGAGAAUCUUUGAAUCGCCGGGAGAUGCAGGAAAUUCCAACUGAAUCUAGUAACCACAAACAAAGCUGAAAGCAAUUCUUCAG